AUUUAGCUGACGAGUUGCAAAUAAGACGAAACGCGCAUUUCUGGAU
rfam:Schistosoma mattheei strain Denwood, Zambia genome assembly, scaffold: SMTD_scaffold0000767